rnacentral:rRNA from 1 species
UACGGAAGGCAGCAGUGGGGAAUAUUGCACAAUGGGCGCAAGCCUGAUGCAGCCAUGCCGCGUGUAUGAAGAAGGCCUUCGGGUUGUAAAGUACUUUCAGCGGGGAGGAAGGCGGUGAAGUUAAUAGCUUCACCGAUUGACGUUACCCGCAGAAGAAGCACCGGCUAACUCCGUGCCAGCAGCCGCGGUAAUACGGAGGGUGCAAGCGUUAAUCGGAAUUACUGGGCGUAAAGCGCACGCAGGCGGUCUGUCAAGUCGGAUGUGAAAUCCCCGGGCUUAACCUGGGAACUGCAUUCGAAACUGGCAGGCUAGAGUCUUGUAGAGGGGGUAGAAUUCCAGGUGUAGCGGUGAAAUGCGUAGAGAUCUGGAGGAAUACCGGUGGCGAAGGCGGCCCCUGGACAAAGCUGACGCUCAGGGU